rnacentral:rRNA from 1 species
GGCUUAGAACUAACGCUGGCAGUGCGUCUUAAGCAUGCAAGUCAAACGGAAUGUAGCAAUACAUUUAGUGGCGAACGGGUGAGUAACGCGUGGAUGAUCUACCUAUGAGAUGGGGAUAACUACUAGAAAUAGUAGCUAAUACCGAAUAAGGUCAAUUAAUUUGUUAAUUGAUGAAAGGAAGCCUUUAAAGCUUCGCUUGUAGAUGAGUCUGCGUCUUAUUAGUUAGUUGGUGGGGUAAAUGCCUACCAAGACGAUGAUAAGUAACCGGCCUGAGAGGGUGAACGGUCACACUGGAACUGAGAUACGGUCCAGACUCCUACGGGAGGCAGCAGCUAAGAAUCUUCCGCAAUGGGCGAAAGCCUGACGGAGCGACACUGCGUGAAUGAAGAAGGUCGAAAGAUUGUAAAAUUCUUUUAUAAAUGAGGAAUAAGCUUUGUAGGAAAUGACAAAGCGAUGACGUUAAUUUAUGAAUAAGCCCCGGCUAAUUACGUGCCAGCAGCCGCGGUAAUACGUA